GUCACCUAAUGGAGCCUGGAAGGAGGUCCAACCAAAACAUAUUAUUAUUAUUAUAUAGUGCAAAGCUAAAGGCUACAAUGUUCGAAUGCAUAUAAAAGUGUAAUUAGAAAAAACUUGAUGAGAUUUCCACAUAUUCAUAGCGAUUAUGCGAACCAAAUUCUUCAAUACAUGGGAAAAAUCUUCAAUUGGAUACUUGGGAUGAGAGCUACCCAAACAAGUAUAUCAUGACUCACCAUUGGACUCACAAUCAAGUUGCACAUGUUUAAUUCCACCAAACGAAACGUCGUUCCACUUGUAAUGACUGCAAUCAUUACUACAACAAAAGAAUAGCCAUCUUUCAUUUUCGGUCUUCUUAGCGACCUCCAUGCGUUUCUCAAAUUCCAGCCACAUAAUAGGUAUUGUCAUUGAUGUUCCUAGCUAACUUAGCAGGUGCUGGCACUGCGACAACGAUCGCUGAGUAGAACUACCACGAUCUACAAGUCUUGCCAUUCUGUCCAAAAAUAAGAACCGUAUACAAAAUUCCAGAUCAUCGUAUCCGUUUCAUAUAGUUUACUGACAUGAAUUUCAGAAUAAAUUAAACGCCCACCACCACAUAAUUCACAUAAAUAAAUUGACUUAAAAUUCAUAUGGGUUUUACAUUACAUUACAUUACAAGAACCCAGAGCUUAGAUACCAUUUACG
rnacentral:lncRNA from 1 species